GAUAGGUGCGGAGCUAGCAUUGAGAAUCCAGCAUGCGAUGUUCCAUCUCGGUGCUAAAUAGCUAGGUUUUUGUCCUCGGAAAGGAACCCCGAUUCAGGAAUAAUGUUACCCGGCACUCGCCAUCUGAUUCGGUUGCUUACCAUCUUCUUCUUUCUGGUCUGCUUCUGCUUCAGUCCCUCAAGCCAGCGGCCAUCUCCCUUCCCCCGUAAGUACUUCAACUAAACCAACUGGAUUAUACUGUAGGAUAACUAAGCUAUGUAUUUUCCUAUUUAUGAUUUUACUUGUGCGUAACAGACCAACCGGAUCAACCACCAGGGUCACACCCUCCAAACUGCCCAACCUGCCACAGGUAGGAUUAGGAAGGGCACUGGUUCUACAAAGUGGAGCGUGCCGAUAUGUCAAGUCAUCAAUCGCACCAUGAAGUCUUCUAUGUACUAUAAAUGGAGUGUGCAUCACUCUACAACAACUAAUUACUUUCUGCAAUCGGUUAGGCUAAAAAUCUGAUCAGAUCUUUUAGCAUGGGAAAUCUUAUUUUUUUUAUGACAAAUUUAGUUGACGUGAGCAUGGCAAAUUUAGUUUACAAGCACGGCAAUUUCCUCACAAAAAGUGAACUAAGGUGGAUUUUCCAUGCUUGCCAACUAAAUUUGGCAUCCCCAGCAAGCACAAACCGCCAUACAAAAAUGUUUGAUUUGUCAUGGCCAAAAAUAUGAUGUCAGAUUUGUAGUGGAGUCCUGCUGCAAUUGUAAUCUCUUCUGUCAAGAUUAUAACUCGAAUUUGCAUAACUUCUCAAUUUCUUUCCUAGCCUUUGGACCAACAUUGAACAAUGAUCAUCUCAAUUUCACUUAUAUAACAUGUGGAUUGUGGACUAGAAGUUGCAAUUGGAUUUUAUCUUUAUAGACUUGCAAAUUUUACGUUUUGGAAUUUAGGAUAAAUGAUGAUUAGUUUUUAUGAUUAUUUGUUGAAAAAGGAUGUAACUGGAAAUUAGCAAAAGGCUAACAAAAUUAUGAUUAUAUGGGUAUUCAACAAGAAAAAGGGACUUAUGAGAAUCACAAUAUAUGUGCACGAGCCGUUUCCAAAUAUUAAAUAGCAUUUUUUUUCUUUUUUCUCCGAAAACAAGACAGAAAGUAGUUUAAAGAACAGUUAUGUCACUUUUUUAUUUUGUUCAUGGAAUUAAUUAAAGAUGACAAG
rnacentral:lncRNA from 1 species